rnacentral:rRNA from 1 species
UUAGCAGUAGGGGGAUCUUCCACAAUGGACGCAAGUCUGAUGGAGCAACGCCGCGUGAGUGAAGAAGGUUUUCGGAUCGUAAAGCUCUGUUGUUGGUGAAGAAGGAUAGAGGUAGUAACUGGCCUUUAUUUGACGGUAAUCAACCAGAAAGUCACGGCUAACUACGUGCCAGCAGCCGCGGUAAUACGUAGGUGGCAAGCGUUGUCCGGAUUUAUUGGGCGUAAAGCGAGCGCAGGCGGAAGAAUAAGUCUGAUGUGAAAGCCCUCGGCUUAACCGAGGAACUGCAUCGGAAACUGUUCUGAUGCAGG